CCCUUAGAUGUCCGGGGCCGCACGCGCGCUACACUGAAGGAAUCAGCGUGGCUUUCUCCCUGACCCGAAAGGGUUGGGAAACCCGUUGAAUCUCCUUCGUGAUAGGGAUUGGGGCUUGAAAUUGUUCCCCAUGAACGAGGAAUUCCCAGUAAGCGCGAGUCAUAAGCUCGCGUUGAUUACGUCCCUGCCCUUUGUACACACCGCCCGUCGCUACUACCGAUUGAACGUUUUAGUGAGGGCCUCGGAUUGGUCUCGGCCCGCUCUUUACCGGGCGGCGCCGUUGGUCGAGAAGACGCUCGAACUUGAUCGUUUAGAGGAAGUAAAAGUCGUAACA
rnacentral:rRNA from 1 species